rnacentral:rRNA from 1 species
UACAGGAGGCCAGAGCGUUAGGCGGAAUCACUGGGCUUAAAGGGUGCGUAGGCGGUCCUGUUGGUGCAUCGUGAAAUCCCACGGCUCAACCGUGGAACAGCGGUGCAUACCGCAGGACUCGAGACAGGUAGAGGUCGCCGGAACGCUCGGUGGAGCGGUGAAAUGCGUAGAGAUCGAGCGGAACGCCCAUGGUGAAAACAGGCGACUGGGCCGUGUCUGACGCUGAGCCACGAAAGCGUGGGGAUCAAACAGG